rnacentral:misc_RNA from 1 species
UUCUAUUCAGGGAACCCCAUGGUAGAGAGGACCUGUGGAAUUCUUCAUCUGUAUAAGGACAAUAAGAUGACGUCACUGAAGGAUGAGGUCCCCAGAAGUGAGUUGGUCUGUAUGCUAGCUGUCCCCGCCGCUUACACCAUCCAUGAUCUCGUGAAAUUCACCGCCCCCGUGGGUGAGGGUAUCGAGUACAUGCGGAUUAUCCGAGACUCCACCCCCAACCAGUACAUGGUGCUGAUCAAGUUUCGGACCCAGCGACUGGCCGACGAGUUCUUCACCACAUACAACAACGUGUCUUACAACUCGAUCGAGCCGGACAUCUGUCAGCUGAUCUACGUAGCCAGGGUGGAGGUCAUCAAGGACUCAGAGGGUCCUUGUUUACCGGUGGAGGGUCUGACCGAGCUGCCUAACUGCCCGGUGUGUCUGGACAGAAUGGAUGAGUCUGUGGAUGGUACACCGGUCUUGACGAUUUUGUGCAAUCACACGUUCCACGUCAACUGCCUGGCUAAAUGGGGCGACACCAGCUGUCCAGUUUGUCGUUACUGUCAGACUCCGGAGGAGACAGCAGACCAGAGAUGUAUGACGUGCGGUUCUCAGGAGGUAAAUCGAGGGGCUCUUACAGAAAAUAGAUGAUCAAUGAUCUAUACGAUUAAAGAUAUCAAAUAACUGGCCAGAGAAACCAUAGCAUUCUACAUGUAUACAUUUGAAGACUUCUUGUUUUUGUUUAUAGAGCCUAUGGAUUUGUUUGAUCUGUGGGAACAUCGGAUGUGGAAGAUACGUAGAGCUGCAUGCAUACAAACAUUUUCAAGAGACCCAGCAUACAUAUGCUAUGCAGAUAGGAAAUAGCCGAGUGUGGGAUUAUGUCGGGGACAACUUUGUUCAUCGUCUGGUUCAGAGUAAAGGUGAUGGUAAACUGGUGGCGGUGGAGGACCAGCAAAGCUCUGAGAUGGACGGGAAGGCGGACUCGUUAUCUCUAGAGUAUACCUACCUCCUAACAAGUCAGCUUGAACAGCAACGGAAGUACUUUGAACAAAGGAUGACCCAGGUGGAGAAAAGUGCACAAGAAAGGGCUGAUGUAUUGGAUGUGAAAUAUAAAACAGCGACAGAUGAUUUAGAUAGAGUGAAGAUAGAACUGCAGGCUGUGAAUAAAGAAAAACAGGGUCUGGAAAAGAAGUGUUCACAUCUCCACUCACGUCUGGCUUCAGCUCUGAAAGAUCUGCAGGAAGAGAAACAGAUGAACAAGUGUCUGCUGGAAAACCAGCAGGUCUGGCAGAAGAAGGUCACUGUGUUAGAGGGCAAAGUUCAUGACCUCACACAGAACAAAGAACAGGAGAUACAGGAGCUGCGGGAACAGCUCCGAGACGUGAUGUUCUUCAUGGAGGCUCAACAGAAACUGUCCGAGACGUCUGAAGUCUCACAGACCGAGCUCCAGCAGAGUCAGGUGAUCGUGGGGGGCGGGGCCUCUGGGACAAGCCCCUCCCCCCGCUCAAAGAAGGGCCGCAAAAAGGACCGCUGAGAGAGGCAGGACCUCUAUACUGAAAUGUGUUUGUGAAAGAUGUACACUCUUGAAUUAAUAUGUGAAUGAUGCAUUUGCAUGUACAAACACUUAUCAUUACUCGCUGUGUGUUAAUGAUGUACACUCUAUAUUACAUGCUGUUCAUGUAAUGUGAGUAACAAACAAUUGGACACUCUUUGCCUGAUACCUCUCCACAAUCCAGAGAUCUACAGAUUAACAGGGAUUAUCCAGGAUGUCUCCAUUGUCACACUAAGCUGUGCUUUCUGAUUAUUUAAUCUUUAUGUUGUAUGUAUUGUUGAUGUAAAGUCAUUACUACAUAGAAACGCAGGACAAGGAGCCACUAGAAGCUACUACAUGUAGUUGCCUUGUUCUUAUUUUCAUAUUUUAACUGUAAGCUUUCAGCUGUUUUUAGUUCUCUUAUAUUGAUGUGAAUAUCUUUUUUCACACACAAUUCAGAAUAUAGGUCAUGUUUGAAAUGGGAAAUUAAUUGAUGUUGUACAAGGUUGCAAGCACAAACAUACAGUUGUACAAUUUGUUUUGGUCAAAGAUGACAGUAAUGUUAAAAUCUCAUUCCAGAUGCUUUUUAUACCAACAUCUUUAUGGGGAGAUUUGUACAUAUGUACAUGAUGUAUAUUGGCUGGAUGUUUAUAAACCUACAUCGUAUGUGUUGUGAUAUGUUGAAGCUGCUUCACUGCUUAAGAAAACAGAAACAAAAAGAAACCGCCAAAUAAAGUCUGUGAUUCACGUU